AUGAUCCUCCAUGGUGCUCCCAUCUACAUCAACCCUUCCAGGAUCCUCUCAUCUAGCUCAACCCUUCCAGCCUCCUCAAUGGUGCUCCCAUCUAGCUCAACCCCUCCAGCCUCCUCCAUGGUGCUCCCAUCUAGCUCAACCUCCCCAACCUCCUCCAUGGUGCUCCCAUCUUGCUCACCCCUCCAGGAUCCUCCAUGGUGCUCCCAUCUAGCUCAACCCCUCCAGGAUCCUCUAUGGUGCUCCCAUCUAGCUCAACCCCUCCAGGCUCCUCCCAUCUAGCUCAACCCCUCCAGGCUCCUCCCAUCUAGCUCAACCACUCCAGGAUCCUCCCAUCUAGCGCAACCACUCCAGGCUCCUUCAGAAACUCAUCCCCUAAUGAAAAAGACAGUCACUUGUGUUCUUUGCUAUCUGACAGUGUGGUGCUGGAUGCCACUCCAAUGCUUGAUAAAGCUCCCUUGGAGUGGAUUGUGGUGGGGCCUUUUCACAACUAGAAGAUGAGAAAUUACAUUUUUAUUUCACACAUGUCCCAUUAUUAUAUCACAUAUCUAGCUUGCUAAUGUAUGUCACAAAACCUAGCUAGUGAGCUUAUUUGUCAGCUCUCUACCAAGCUACAAAAUGUUAACUAGCUAGCUAAUAUUGUUUCAGUAAUGUUCUGUAAUAACGUUAGUUACUUGUAAGUCUCAAAAAUGUGAGGCAACUAUACUGCCGAGCACCAUUACAGCUGCUAACGUUACAGCCGAGCACCAUUACAGUUCUAUCACUCUCAAACAGAGAAAUGCACAAGAAACGUUAGCUAGCCGCCCCAAGAAAACAAUGUGUCAUGUAAAAUGUAAGUAGGUUCUAAAUGAUCAUAACUCUCAAAAUACACAUAAUUAUGUCUAUAUCUUCACUGGUUUUAGAUCAUAAAUACCAUGUACACCUUAGUUAUUUAUCAAGGCAGCCAUAGAAUUUAGAUAGCAUAAAGCUAACCCAGAUUCUCCAUUUACAACCAUCACAGCUAACAUUAGCUAGCUAGCUAGCUACUUUGUGGCUGAUGCAACGUCUUGGUAACAUUACUUGUCAAGCAGAAAACAGGCCAUCUCUGCAUUAGACUUCAGC
rnacentral:lncRNA from 13 species